rnacentral:rRNA from 1 species
AGCGAACGCUGGCGGCAGGCCUAACACAUGCAAGUCGAACGAACCUUUCGGGGUUAGUGGCGGACGGGUGAGUAACACGUGGGAACGUGCCUUUAGGUUCGGAAUAACUCAGGGAAACUUGUGCUAAUACCGAAUGUGCCCUUCGGGGGAAAGAUUAAUCGCCUUUAGAGCGGCCCGCGUCUGAUUAGCUAGUUGGUUGAGGUAAUGGCUCACCAAGGCGACGAUCAGUAGCUGGUCUGAGAGGAUGAUCAGCCACAUUGGGACUGAGACACGGCCCAAACUCCUACGGGGGGCAGCAGUGGGGAAUCUUGCGCAAUGGGCGAAAGCCUGACGCAGCCAUGCCGCGUGAAUGAUGAAGGUCUUAGGAUUGUAAAAUUCUUUCACCGGGGACGAUAAUGACGGUACCCGGAGAAGAAGCCCCGGCUAACUUCGUG